rnacentral:piRNA from 1 species
UGGUGUCCUCAAAUUGAAAGCCAAGG